CAUUCACGGAGAGUUUGAUCCUGGCUCAGGACGAACGCUGGCGGCGUGCUUAACACAUGCAAGUCGAACGAUGAACCGCUUUCGGGCGGGGAUUAGUGGCGAACGGGUGAGUAACACGUGGGCAAUCUGCCCUGCACUCUGGGACAAGCCCUGGAAACGGGGUCUAAUACCGGAUAUGACUGUCCAUCGCAUGGUGAUGGUGUAAAGCU
rnacentral:rRNA from 1 species